UCCCUACGGGACGCAGCAGUGAGGAAUAUUGGUCAAUGGUCGGGAGACUGAACCAGCCAAGCCGCGUGAGGGAGGAAGGUACAGAGUAUCGUAAACCUCUUUUGUCAGGGAACAAAGGCGGGGACGUGUCCCCGGAUGAGUGUACCUGAAGAAAAAGCAUCGGCUAACUCCGUGCCAGCAGCCGCGGUAAUACGGAGGAUGCGAGCGUUAUCCGUAUUUAUUGGGUUUAAAGGGUGCUCAGGCGUUCUGUUAAGUCCGCGGUCCAAGCCCGGGGCUCAACCCCGGCCCGCCGUU
rnacentral:rRNA from 1 species